rnacentral:rRNA from 2 species
AUUGAACGCUGGCGGCAGGCCUAACACAUGCAAGUCGAGCGCGAAAUUUCCUUCGGGAAUGAGUAGAGCGGCGGACGGGUGAGGAACGCGUAGGAAUCUACCUAGUAGUGGGGGACAACAAUCGGAAACGGUUGCUAAUACCGCAUAAGCCCUAAGGGGGAAAGCAGGGGAUCUUCGGACCUUGCGCUAUUGGAUGAGCCUGCGUCGGAUUAGCUAGUUGGUGGGGUAAUAGCCUACCAAGGCAACGAUCCGUAGCUGGUCUGAGAGGAUGAUCAGCCACACUGGGACUGAGACACGGCCCAGACUCCUACGGGAGGCAGCAGUGGGGAAUAUUGGACAAUGGGCGCAAGCCUGAUCCAGCCAUGCCGCGUGUGUGAAGAAGGCUCUAGGGUUGUAAAGCACUUUCAGUAGGGAGGAAAAGUUAGUAGUUAAUAACUGCUAACCCUGACGUUACCUACAGAAGAAGCACCGGCAAACUCCGUGCCAGCAGCCGCGGUAAUACGGAGGGUGCGAGCGUUAAUCGGAAUUACUGGGCGUAAAGCGCGCGUAGGCGGUUUGAUAAGCUGGAUGUGAAAGCCCUGGGCUCAACCUGGGAAUUGCAUCCAGAACUGUCUGACUAGAGUACAGUAGAGGUGAGUGGAAUUUCCUGUGUAGCGGUGAAAUGCGUAGAUAUAGGAAGGAACAUCAGUGGCGAAGGCGACUCACUGGACUGAUACUGACGCUGAG